rnacentral:rRNA from 1 species
UGGGGAAUAUUGCACAAUGGGCGCAAGCCUGAUGCAGCCAUGCCGCGUGUAUGAAGAAGGCCUUCGGGUUGUAAAGUACUUUCAGCGAGGAGGUAGGCGUUGUGGUUAAUAACCGCAACGAUUGACGUUACUCGCAGAAGAAGCACCGGCUAACUCCGUGCCAGCAGCCGCGGUAAUACGGAGGGUGCAAGCGUUAAUCGGAAUUACUGGGCGUAAAGCGCACGCAGGCGGUCUGUCAAGUCGGAUGUGAAAUCCCCGGGCUCAACCUGGGAACUGCAUCCGAAACUGGCAGGCUAGAGUCUUGUAGAGGGGGGUAGAAUUCCAGGUGUAGCGGUGAAAUGCGUAGAGAUCUGGAGGAAUACCGGUGGCGAAGGCGGCCCCCUGGACAAAGACUGACGCUCAGGUGCGAAAGCGUGGGGAGCAAACA